rnacentral:rRNA from 1 species
CGCGGCCUAUCAGCUUGUUGGUGGGGUGACGGCCUACCAAGGCGACGACGGGUAGCCGGCCUGAGAGGGUGUCCGGCCACACUGGGACUGAGAUACGGCCCAGACUCCUACGGGAGGCAGCAGUGGGGAAUAUUGCACAAUGGGCGCAAGCCUGAUGCAGCGACGCCGCGUGGGGGAUGACGGCCUUCGGGUUGUAAACCUCUUUCACCAUCGACGAAGGUCCGGGGUUUCUCGGAUUGACGGUAGGUGGAGAAGAAGCACCGGCCAACUACGUGCCAGCAGCCGCGGUAAUACGUAGGAUGCGAGCGUUGUCCGGAAUUACUGGGCGUAAAGAGCUCGUAGGUGGUUUGUCGCGUUGCUCGUGAAAUCUCACGGCUUAACUGUGAGCGUGCGGGCGAUACGGGCAGACUGGAGUACUGCAGGGGAGACUGGAAUUCCUGGUGUAGCGGUGGAAUGCGCAGAUAUCAGGAGGAACACCGGUGGCGAAGGCGGGUCUCUGGGCAGUAACUGACGCUGAGGAGCGAAAGCGUGGGGAGCGAACAGGAUUAGAUACCCUGGUAGUCCACGCCGUAAACGGUGGGUACUAGGUGUGGGUUUCCUUCCUUGGGAUCCGUGCCGUAGCUAACGCAUUAAGUACCCCGCCUGGGGAGUACG